CAGCCGCCACGGUAAUACGUAGGGUGCAAGCGUUAAUCGGAAUUACUGGGCGUAAAGCGUGCGCAGGCGGUUAUAUAAGACAGAUGUGAAAUCCCCGGGCUCAACCUGGGAACUGCAUUUGUGACUGUAUAGCUAGAGUACGGCAGAGGGGGAUGGAAUUCCGCGUGUAGCAGUGAAAUGCGUAGAUAUGCGGAGGAACACCGAUGGCGAAGGCAAUCCCCUGGGCCUGCACUGACGCUCAUGCACGAAAGCGUGGGGAGCAAACAGGAUUAGAUACCCCUGUAGUCCCUGUCUCUUAUAA
rnacentral:rRNA from 1 species